UGUUGUCUUGAAAUUCUUUUUCCAAAAUUUCGCAUACUUUGGUUGCACCAGAAAUUAUUGGAAAUAUUGUUACUGAAAUUCCUUGUUGUAUGACUGACAAAAAAAAAAAAAAGAAAUUCCUUGUUGUAUGAGGAUUAAUCCCUUAGGAUCUUUCAUGCAGCUGUCAUCAAUUUUUUUUUGGGGGUGAUCAGCUAGAGUAGCAUCAUUUUCGGGUUCAAUAUAUAGAUAGCUUCAUCAAAACUUCAGAGGUAUCGAGAAACAACAAAGUCCUCAACUGAUCCUCCAGAAAUCAAAUUUUGAUUUUUUUUCCUAUCAAAAGUAGGAAAAAACCCAAUUCAAAUAUUAAAACAAAAUGCACACUUUUCUUGAUGACUGAUGGAGGAGGCUGCCUCUCUUGUACAUGAGAGAGUGCCUUCCUGUACAUUUAACAUUCUAAGACCAACCCAUUUCAAAAGAACCUAAAUUAAGAGACCCCAUUUCUUGAAAUCUUACAAAAGCCCAUCAUUUUAGAGUUUCAUUUUCUUGCAGAUAUAGUGUUUGAUAGUUUGUUUAGCUGAAUGGGGGAGUCACAAAUGGAUUGUAGCAAGUAUGUGAGGUAUACAGCUGAGCAAGUUGAGGCUUUGGAGAGGGUUUAUGCUGAGUGUCCAAAGCCAAGCUCUUCGAGAAGGCAACAGCUUAUUAGAGACAUCCCUAUUCUCUCAAAUAUUGAACCUAAACAGAUCAAAGUCUGGUUUCAGAACCGCAGGUUAACUUCUUUCCUUCAAUUAGAGUUUAUGUGUAUGUUUGUAUGUUCCUUUUUGAGUUCCAGUUCAUUAUUAUCUUACUUGUAAUUUGAUUGAAAGGUGAAGCUUUUCUUGAAGUUCAUACGGUCAUUUGCUUGGAUGUUAUUUCAAUUACUAAACAGAUAGAAAAAAAUGAUUAGAAGCUUCAUUUGGAUUGGGAGGGAGGCCUCUAAAGGAAAAGCUAGAGUGGCCUGGAAGGAUGUCUGUAUUCCGAAAAAAGGAGGUUUAGGUAUUACGUCAUUACGUUGUUGGAAUAAAGCUUUAAUGACUUAUCACAUUUGGAAUAUUAUUUCAGAUAGGUGCUAGCUGUGGGUAAAAUGGAUUCAUUCUUAUAGACAAAGGGGAAGGAACUUUUGGAAAUUUGUGGAAGCUUGGGAUUCUACCUGGAGUUGGAAAUGUAUAUUCGGGUUAAGGGCUGAAGUGCGACCAUUUAUUGUUUGUAAGAUUGGCAAUGUUCAGCGUAAUGUCUGGUUUGAUACUUGGGUGUUGAAUUAACCUCUGUCGAAUUUCUGCAGCUACAGAGACAUUAGAUAGAUGGGUCUAACUAAACAGGCGAAGGUGGCAGAUUUUUAUAUGGGUUAAUUAUCUAAUUGGACACUCACUUCACAGCAAUGUAUUAUCUAUGACACUCUUGAAUUUUCGAUCUCAUUUGAAACACCGUUUUCAAAAAUUGUAUCAGUCUUAAAAAUAAAACGUUAAAUUCCAAAAUAAAUCGAUAGUUUAAGAAGUGUUACUCAUGUGACUUUAACACAGUAGGUUAUAGAAAUUAUGUAAGUACAAUUGAUUGAAUUUCCACGUCCAAAAAAUGGGUAAAAUUGAUGGUGGAAGAGAUGGGUUAAGAAGAACCCUAAUACUCCAUAUAUAGCCAUUUGUUGGACGUAGGAAUUCAAUUAAUCAUAUCUACAUAAUCUCUAUAGCCUACCGUGUUAAAUCCCCAUGAGUAACACUUCUCAAACUGUCGAAUUUAACUUUUUACUUUUAAGACCGAUAUAAUUUAUAAAAACAAUAUUUCAAAUGAGACCGAAAAUUCGAGGGUGCCCCGGAUGAUAUGUUGGUGUGAAGCCCAAUAAGAUUAACCCAUUUUUAUAUUAAUGGUACAUGUAUUGGCCUGAUGAGUUUGUUUCUAAGGUUCCAGAGGCACAACAAACUAAUAUUUGUAUGACAGAUAGGGCUGUUUACGAGCAGAGCUGAGCCGAGCCAAGCUUUAAAUUUUUUCCUAUCGAACCGAGCCGAGCUUUCUUAUCGAACAAAAAUUUAUGUUCGAGCUCGAGCUCGUUAACUAACGAGCCGAACACGAGCUUGUUCACAGACACAUACGAGCCGAGCCGAGCCAAAAAAAAAAAUAAGGUCAAACCGCUACUUGACUCUUAAAAUAGCAAGCCAAAUAAAAAUUUUAGUGUGUUUUGAUGGUACCAUAUUAUAGUUAAUAUUCUCCUGAUCGAUUUGAUAUAUUAUAUGUUGAAUUCGGCAUUCAAUAACAUGUAUAUAUUACGAAAUUAUCGUGAAAAUAUUGCAUUUUUUCGAGCUUUAACGAGCCGAGCUCGAGUCGAACGAGUUCGAGCCGAGCACGAGCCGAACACACUAAAAGCUCGGCUCGAGCUCGUUUUCUUAACGAACACAUUUAUGUAUUCGAGCUCGAGCUCGAGUUCUUAACGAACCGAGCCGAACCGAGUUUUUAUCGAGCCGAGCUCGAGCUUGUUCGCGAACAGCUCGGUUCGUGAACAGCUCUUUACAGAGGGGCCUGAUAAAGUGAUCUGGUUGUCGAGAAAAGGGAAGCAGGACCAGUUAGUGUGCGACAGGUCUGGGAGGAUUUGAGGGUGUUCCAAUCUAAAGGAUAUUGUUCAAUGUAUUCUGGUGACUGGGAGUGUUUUAUUCGGCGGGGAAAAUCCCUUCACAGCCUGAUCAAUAAAUUGCUUCUCGCGGCUGUGAAAUUUAGAUUAUUUCAGCUGGCCAGGAAGCGAGUUUGGGAUAUUGUCGCAGACAUUGAGGACGAUGUUAAGAAAAAGCUGCUGGGUUAAAAUUUUGUGAAGUCAGCUCGAGUUUUAGCAGAAUUGCGCAGCUGGGGUAUUUGUCGGAGUUCCCUUGAAUGGCAGGAACUGCAGUUUUUGCAAUGUUUUUGUUGGCUGGGAUUUGGUAUAGUUAUCUGGUGGUGGAUCUGUGUUGUUUUUUGUUAUGGGAAUGGAAGUGCUAAUAGUUUUUCUAAUGUUUGCGUGCGAAGGUCUGGUAUUUCUGUGUAUGCUGUUGUGCUCAGGAGUGGUGCUUAUGUGUUGGUGGAAAAUUGCUGCGGUUAUUUGUUCGGAGGAAUAUGUCUGCUGAGCUGGUGGUGGCAGAUUUUGUGGUCUGCGUCUUGGCAUUGUCUUGUGAAGUUGGUGUGGCGCAGAGGUCUGGGUGGUGCGAGCUGUUUUGGUUUUUGGAAGCUGGUUAAGGAGCUCUGGUGGUUUGCUGGUUUUAUUUGGAUUUCUUGUUUAAUGUUUAUUGGUUGGAAUUCUUGUAUCUUUAUCAUAUGUUCUUAGUUAGAGUUUGGUGUUGCCCCUUGAGUUUGUUCUUGGUGGUUUUUCUCUCUUCGUAUAUUCUCUCUUCUUGAUAUAAAUUUUUACGAGGUGUCGUCCUCAUUUACCUAAAAACAUAUAGUGAGAGGUUUUCUCUGAGUUGAGUUGC